GUGGCAUGCAUGUUAUUGGUGUUUUCUAAUGAAAUUUCUUUCCUUUUACCACUUCUGAUGCGUAGUGAUAAUAAAAAAUAGUACACUGUUGUUGACAUUCAGUUUGUUGUACUUUAUAUAUGACAGUUAUUGGUGAGAACUCGCAGUAUGCUCGACAAUGUGCAAAGAAACGAGCCACCGCGAUAGUUUACAAGCACUGCCGCUGCAAGUUCACAAGCACUACCGCUGGGAGUUCACAAGCACUACCGCUGGGAGUCCAUCAUUGCCGGUCUUCUGCUCUGAACCUCCCCGAGUGCCAUUCUGAACCUGAUCCGGUUAUUCACAUUAUUAUUAGGGUCCAGUUCACUUUCUAUAUUUUGACAGUUCUUUAGUCUGUUUAACAAUUACAGUUUAAAGCACACAUGCGGUUGAAACCUCCGGGCGCGAAGCAUCAGUCCGCGAAGAUACAGCAGCGGUAAGAGGAGGACCUACCUCUCCGUCGUAUUGCUCUAUGUCAGCACAACACGCAGAAUCUAGCAUGGCCGCUGGCCUGAUAGAAUGUUUCAUGGCUUGACUGGAGCUCCUCGGUUUGGAUCCAAGAAAGGCAGCAAGCAGGGGACAUCAACUUCUGGACUUCAAUCCAGCGGCAGUUGCAGCUUGAACUGGACGCAGAGCACAAAAAGAGUUCACUGG